CAAGGCUUAAUUCUGCAUACGUUCUACCGGGAAGAAAAGCGGGGGGCUCUUUCGGACCUUGGCGCGCGAUUCGGAUGAGCCUAUGUCGGGAUUUAGCUAGUUGGUGAGGUAACCGGCUCAGCCAAUGGCGACGAUCCGUAGCUGGUCUGAGAGGAUGAUCAGCCACACCCGGGACUGAGACACGGCCCGGACUCUACGGGAGGCAGCAGUGGGGAAUAUUGGACAAUGGGCGCAAGCUUGAUCCAGCCAUGCCGCGUGUGUGAAGAAGGCUUUCGGGUUGUAAAGCACUUUCAGUGGGGAAGAAAGCGUGCCGGCCAAUACCCGGUACGGACGACAUCACCCACAGAAGAAGCGCCGGCUAGCUCCGUGCCAGCAGCCGCGGUAAUACGGAGGGUGCGAGCGUUAAUCGGAAUUACUGGGCGUAAAGCGCGCGUAGGCGGCUAAGUAAGCCGGUUGUGAAAGCCCCGGGCUCAACCUGGGAAUGGCAUCCGGAACUGUUUAGCUAGAGUGCAGGAGAGGAAGGUAGAAUUCCCGGUGUAGCGGUGAAAUGCGUAGAGAUCGGGAGGAAUACCAGUGGCGAAGGCGGCCUUCUGGACUGACACUGACGCUGAGGUGCGAAAGCAUGGGUAGCAAACAGGAUUAGAUACCCUGGUAGUCCAUGCCGUAAACGAUGUCGACUCAGGCCGUUGGGUCCCUUGAGGACUUAGUGGCGCAGUUAACGCGAUAAGUCGACCGCCUGGGGAGUACGGCCGCAAGGUUAAAACUCAAAUGAAUUGACGGGGGCCGCACAAGCGGUGGAGCAUGUGGUUUAAUUCGAUGCAACGCGAAGAACCUUACCUACCCUUGACAUCCUGCGAAACUCCGGAGACGGAGGGGUGCUUCGGGAGCGCAGAGACAGGUGCU
rnacentral:rRNA from 1 species